rnacentral:rRNA from 1 species
UGUUCCCGGCCUUGUACACACCGCCCGUCACACCACGAAAGUCGGCAAUACCCGAAGCCGGUGGCCUAACCCGUAAGGGAGGGAGCCGUCGAAGGUAGGGUCGAUGAUUGGGGUG